rnacentral:rRNA from 1 species
UACGGGGGGGGCAAGCGUUGUUCGGAAUUACUGGGCGUAAAGGGCGCGUAGGCGGCCUUCUAAGUCGGACGUGAAAUCCCUCGGCUUAACCGAGGAACUGCGUCCGAUACUGAAAGGCUUGAAUCCGGGAGAGGGAUGUGGAAUUCCAGGUGUAGCGGUGAAAUGCGUAGAUAUCUGGAGGAACACCGGUGGCGAAGGCGGUUCUCUGGGACGGUACUGACGCUGAGACGCGAAAGCGUGGGGAGCGAACAGG